ensembl:snRNA U1 U1 spliceosomal RNA
AUAAUUACCUUGCAGGGGAGAUACCAUGAUCACGAAGGUGGUCUUCCCAGGGUGAGGCUUAUCCAUUGUAGUCCACAUACACUGACCCCUGCAAUUUCCCCAAAUGAGGGAAAACCCACUGCAUAAUUUGUGAUGGGGGACUGUGUUUGUGCUUUCCCUUU